CCUACGGGUGGCAGCAGUGAGGAAUAUUGGUCAAUGGGCGAGAGCCUGAACCAGCCAAGUCGCGUGAAGGAUGACGGCCCUACGGGUUGUAAACUUCUUUUGUCAGGGAGCAAUUGAGUCCACGUGUGGGCUUAGCGAGAGUACCUGAAGAAAAAGCAUCGGCUAACUCCGUGCCAGCAGCCGCGGUAAUACGUAGGGGGCAAGCGUUAUCCGGAUUUACUGGGUGUAAAGGGAGCGUAGACGGUUAUGCAAGUCUGCAGUGAAAGCCCAAGGCUCAACCAUGGGACUGCUUUGGAAACUGUAAAACUGGAGUGCAGGAGAGGUAAGCGGAAUUCCUAGUGUAGCGGUGAAAUGCGUAGAUAUUAGGAGGAACACCAGUGGCGAAGGCGGCUUACUGGACUGUAACUGACGUUGAGGCUCGAAGGCGUGGGGAGCAAACAGGAUUAGAUACCCCAGUAGUC
rnacentral:rRNA from 1 species